CCUACGGGUGGCUGCAGUGGGGAAUAUUGGACAAUGGGGGGAACCCUGAUCCAGCCAUGCCGCGUGUGUGAAGAAGGCCCUCGGGUUGUAAAGCACUUUCAGUGAGGAAGAACGCCUGGUGGUUAAUACCCAUCAGGAAAGACAUCACUCACAGAAGAAGCACCGGCUAACUCCGUGCCAGCAGCCGCGGUAAUACGGAGGGUGCAAGCGUUAAUCGGAAUUACUGGGCGUAAAGCGCGCGUAGGUGGCUUGAUAAGCCGGUUGUGAAAGCCCCGGGCUCAACCUGGGAACGGCAUCCGGAACUGUCAAGCUAGAGUGCAGGAGAGGAAGGUAGAAUUCCCGGUGUAGCGGUGAAAUGCGUAGAGAUCGGGAGGAAUACCAGUGGCGAAGGCGGCCUUCUGGACUGACACUGACACUGAGGUGCGAAAGCGUGGGUAGCAAACAGGAUUAGAUACCCCGGUAGUC
rnacentral:rRNA from 1 species